rnacentral:misc_RNA from 1 species
GAAAUGCGAUACGUAAUGUGAAUUGCAGAAUACAGUGAAUCAUCAAAACCUUGAACGCAAAUUGCACUCCUGGGACAUCCCUGGAGUACACCUGUCCGAGUGUCAUUUCCGACCACAUCACCCCUCCCCAAACAGGAGGAGGUGGAGCUUGGGCAUUGAGGGGGAAGCCUCUCAUCGCCUCAAGGAAAGUGGCAGAGGCAGCCCCGAAUGCAUCCCACGAACAAUGAACUAUGGUCGCCUUCAACGGUGUCACCCUAUCCAUUGCGUGGGAUCGCCGACGUCGGGGCUCCCUCCCUGCCUGCAAGGAAGUGGGGCUUUCCCCACGACUCAAACCUCCAACCUCGGAUCAGAUGAGAACACCCGCUGAAUUUAA